rnacentral:misc_RNA from 1 species
GAUGAAGAACGCAGCGAAAUGCGAUAAGUAAUGUGAAUUGCAGAAUUCAGUGAAUCAUCGAAUCUUUGAACGCACAUUGCGCCCGCCAGUAUUCUGGCGGGCAUGCCUGUCCGAGCGUCAUUUCAACCCUCGAACCCCUCCGGGGGGUCGGCGUUGGGGAUCGGCCCUUUACGGGGCCGGCCCCGAAAUACAGUGGCGGUCUCGCCGCAGACUCUCCUGCGCAGUAGUUUGCACACUCGCAUCGGGAGCGCGGCGCGUCCACAGCCGUUAAACACCCCAAACUUCUGAAAUGUUGACCUCGGAUCAGGUAGGAAUACCCGCUGAACUUAAGCAUAUCAAUAAGCGGAGGA